UUUUUGUGGGGUGAUGGCGUGCCUUUUGAAGAAUGAGCCUGCGAGUCAGCGGCAUGUCGCGAGGUUAACCCGUUUGGUGGGGUAGUCGUAGCGAAAGCGAAUACUAACUAGUGUGUUGUCAGUGGCAUGUCCUGGACCCGAAGCGGGGUGAUCUACCCAUGGCCAGUGUGAAGCAGAGGUAAGACUCUGUGGAGGCGCGAACCCACUUAGGUUUGAAAACUGAGGGGAUGAGUUGUGGGUAGGGGUGAAAGGCCAAUCAAACUCCGUGAUAGCUGGUUCUCCCCGAAAUGCAUUUAGGUGCAGCGUCGUGUGUUUCCUCCUGGAGGUAGAGCUACUGGUUGGUUUAGCGGGACUAUCAUCUUAGCGACAUCAGCCAAACUCCGAAUGCCGGUGAGGUCAGAGCACGGCAGUGAGACUGCGGGGGAUAAGCUUCGUAGUCGAGAGGGAAACAGCCCAGAUCGCCGGCUAAGGCCCCUAAGGGUGUGCUAAGUGGAAAAGGAUGUGGGAUCGCGAAGACAACCAGGAGGUUGGCUUAGAAGCAGCCAUCCUUGAAAGAGUGCGUAAUAGCUCACUGGUCGAGUGGUUCUGCGCCGACAAUGUAGUGGGGCUCAAGUACACCGCCGAAGCCGCGGCAAUCAUCUUUUUGGUGGUUGGGUAGGGGAGCGUCGCGUGACUGCUGUGAAGCGCUGGGGUAACCCUAGUGUGGAGUGUGCGCGAGUGAGAAUGCAGGCAUGAGUAGCGAAUGAGGAGUGGAAAACUCCUCCGCCGAAUGACUAAGGGUUCCUGGGCCAGGUUAAUCCUCCCAGGGUGAGUCGGGACCUAAGGCGAGGCCGACAGGCGUAGUCGAUGGAUAACGGGUUGAUAUUCCCGUACCCGUGUGUCCGCGCCCAUGGUGAAUCAGGGAUACUAACCCACCUGAACACGCGCCGUUUACUAGCCUUUUAGGUUGGUUGGUGUGUGUGAUGCUGGGGACCUGAACUGGUAGUAGCCAAGUGAUGGGGUGACGCAGGAAGGUAGCCGUGCCACGUGAUGGAUAUCGUGGUGUAAGCGUGUGGCCCGUGUUCUAGGUAAAUCCGGAGCACAUGUGGGUGAGGCGUGAUGCGUACCCGUUUUGGGGAAGUUGGUGAUCCUAUGCUGCCGAGAAAAGCCUCUAGCGAUGUGGAUAUACGGCCCGUACCCGAAACCGACACAGGUAGUCAGGUAGAGAAUACUAAGGCGAUCGGGAGAACUGUGGUUAAGGAACUCGGCAAAAUGCCCCCGUAACUUCGGGAGAAGGGGGGCCAUGACUGGUGACCGACGUGGUUGAGCUGGUUGUGGCCGCAGAGAAUAGAGGGAAGCGACUGUUUACUAAAAACACAGGUCCGUGCGAAGACGGGUAAGUCGAUGUAUACGGACUGACGCCUGCCCGGUGCUGGAAGGUUAAGAGGACCUGUUAGACCCUUUGUGGGUCGAAGCGGAGAAUUUAAGCCCCAGUAAACGGCGGUGGUAACUAUAACCAUCCUAAGGUAGCGAAAUUCCUUGUCGGGUAAGUUCCGACCUGCACGAAUGGCGUAACGACUUCCCUGCUGUCUCAACCACAGACCCGGCGAAAUUGCAGUACGAGUAAAGAUGCUCGUUACGCGCGGCAGGACGAAAAGACCCCGGGACCUUCACUAUAGCUUGGUAUUGGUGUUCGGUUCGGUUUGUGUAGGAUAGGUGGGAGACUGUGAUGCCUCAACGCCAGUUGGGGUGGAGUCGUUGUUGAAAUACCACUCUGAUCGUAUUGGACAUCUCAACCUCGGCCCGUGAUCCGGGUUAGGGACAGUGCCUGGUGGGUAGUUUAACUGGGGCGGUUGCCUCCCAAAGAGUAACGGAGGCGCCCAAAGGUUCCCUCAGCCUGGUUGGCAAUCAGGUGUUGAGUGUAAGUGCACAAGGGAGCUUGACUGUGAGACUGACAGGUCGAGCAGGUAGGAAACUAGGGACUAGUGAUCCGGCACCGGCUUGUGGAAGCGGUGUCGCUCAACGGAUAAAAGG
rnacentral:rRNA from 1 species